rnacentral:lncRNA from 1 species
GUGACGCCAAAUGGGCCAAAGGGUCGCUGGGAAAACUAAGCCUUACUGUCCAUCUUGCCUUCAGGAUAAUGUGAAAUAUGGCCUAAUUUUUGAAGUUUUUUUCUUAGAAAUUUUACUGAAUCCAAAAUAAAACAAGAAGAUCAUGGUGGAUAUAGCUUCCAAAUUUAUUCUGCAAUAAAACAGGUUUGAAUCUAGAUAUACAAGCAAAUAGCAAAUAAUAUACAUUCUUUUUUGCAGAGUCCAGAAUUCUCUUUUCUCAACACUAGAUGGCAGUAGAGUUAAAGAAAAAAAUCCCAGCAGUUCUUUGUACAGGGAUUUGGUGAUUUUUCCCAUAAAGCUGCGAUGAGGAUGAACUCAGAGCAAAAUCUAUGGGGAGUUUUAUACCUGGUAUACUAUUUGUAGCCUUCGUAGAGGGUUCUCCAUUCUAGUCACACCGAUUUCCUCUCUGCUGCAGACAUUGGACACUGGCCUAGUGUUCCAGAAGCUCUGAGUUCAGAGUCCUCAUGUACUAAUGCCAGCAACAGUCAGUUUCACAGUGCCUCUGGCCAGCUGCACUCUUAUGCAACUCAACAAUUUCUCACCUUUUCUCCUUUUAAAAACAAUAUAAGCAACAAAACCACCCAGCUCCCACUGCUGCAUAACCCAGAAGUAUUGGAAAGAUCACUUCAUACAAUUCUUGAGGCAAUCCUGCAGGAUCAAGCAAUUAGGUCCUUGGAGUGGUGGCCAGCUCAUCAAAGCCUCUUUGUACUGGUGCUUCCCCUGAUCCUGUUUUGUUCCCUUGUCCCUCUUUCCUGCUCCUAGCUAGGAUCACACUCCCCAAUAAAGUUUUUGAACAAUGA